GAGGUUGAGGUGAAAGGAGCUGGAGGAGAGGAAGUAUUGCUGAAUCCUGAGCUCCAAGCAGCAGGGUAUGAGUCAGUCAGAGCCAGCGAGAAUCCAUCAGGGAGUUUGCAAGGGUGGAUCUACCUCGCUGGUAAUUAAUGGCUAACAUGGAUCAUGACACUAUGGAGUCUGUAUGGUUAGUUCUCAUAUCUGAGAUCAAUCAGCAGCUGUUAGAAACAUCCGCUCCUGUCAGAUUUGCCCAUGGAUUGCCUAUUUCAUAGCAAACUGUGCAGUGCGAUAUGUUCUUAUACAAUUUCAUUUAUAUAAAUCAUCACAGAGUGCUUUGAUAGUGAGAGUCAAUCUGUCAGAUCCUAAUCACUGUUGCUCUGAGGGAGACGAUCACAGGCCACUUCUGUAGUGCUGCUUAUGUUUAUCUCCUCCCCUAGUUAAGAUAUAAUACCAUGAAGUAUAACAAUAAGCAUGCAAAGUGCACUAAGUGUCUGAAAUCCAGUUGACAGAGGUUUACAUGCUAAAAAGGUGUUCAUCUCCCAGUUAUAGUGUGAGCUUUAAAUAUUGCUGAAAAUCUUGAGAAAAUUGAUAAACAUGUUUAAUGAUCUGCUGUUGAAGAUGGUUCAAACUAUAUCUACUAUUGAAUGAGCAGUAAAACACUAAUAAACUACUGAAACCUGGAACU